rnacentral:rRNA from 1 species
GUGCGUAACGCGUAUGCAACCUACCUUUAACAGAGGGAUAGCCCGAAGAAAUUCGGAUUAAUACCUCAUAACACUGCGAUAUGGCAUCAUAUUGCAUUUAAAACUCCUGUGGUUAAAGAUGGGCAUGCGUGACAUUAGCUAGUUGGUGAGGUAACGGCUCACCAAGGCUUCGAUGUCUAGGGGUUCUGAGAGGAUGAUCCCCCACACUGGUACUGAGACACGGACCAGACUCCUACGGGAGGCAGCAGUAAGGAAUAUUGGUCAAUGGGCGCAAGCCUGAACCAGCCAUGCCGCGUGCAGGAAGACGGCCUUAUGGGUUGUAAACUGCUUUUAUAUAGGAAUAAACCCCCGAACGUGUUCGGGGCUGAAGGUACUAUAAGAAUAAGGACCGGCUAACUCCGUGCCAGCAGCCGCGGUAAUACGGAGGGUCCAAGCGUUAUCCGGAUUUAUUGGGUUUAAAGGGUGCGCAGGCGGACCUAUUAGUCAGUGGUGAAAUCCCGGGGCUCAACUCCGGAACUGCCAUUGAUACUGUAGGUCUUGAGUUUGGUUGAAGUGGGCGGAAUGUAGCAUGUAGCGGUGAAAUGCAUAGAUAUGCUACAGAACACCGAUCGCGAAGGCAGCUCACUAAACCAAUACUGACGCUCAGGCACGAAAGCGUGGGUAGCGAACAGGAUUAGAUACCCUGGUAGUCCACGCCGUAAACGAUGAUCACUCGUUGUUGGCAACACAUAGUCAGUGACCAAGCGAAAGCGAUAAGUGAUCCACCUGGGGAGUACGUUCGCAAGAAUGAAACUCAAAGGAAUUGACGGGGGCCCGCACAAGCGGUGGAGCAUGUGGUUUAAUUCGAUGAUACGCGAGGAACCUUACCUGGGCUCAAAUGUAAGUUGACAGAUCCUGAAAGGGAUUUUUCUUCGGACAAUUUACAAGGUGCUGCAUGGUUGUCGUCAGCUCGUGCCGUGAGGUGUCGGGUUAAGUCCCAUAACGAGCGCAACCCCUAUUCUUAGUUGCCAUCAGGUCAUGCUGGGGACUCUAGAAAAACUGCCUACGCAAGUAGAGAGGAAGGUGGGGAUGACGUCAAAUCAGCACGGCCCUUACGUCCAGGGCUACACACGUGCUACAAUGGCCGGUACAGAGGGCAGCCACCUGGUACAGGGAGCGAAUCUCGAAAGCCGGUCUCAGUUCGGAUCGAAGUCUGCAACCCGACUUCGUGAAGCUGGAAUCGCUAGUAAUCGCGCAUCAGCCAUGGCGCGGUGAAUACGUUCCCGGGCCUUGUACACACCGCCCGUCAAGCCAUGGAAGCUGGGGGUACCUGAAGUCGGUAACCGAAAGGAGCUGCCUAGGGUAAAACUAGUGACUGGGGCUAAGUCGUAACAAGGUA